AGCCCGCACUAGCCCGACCACACUCAACCCACACAGCCCAAACCCCUACCGCCACAAAAAUAAAACAUUCCUUUAAGCCCAGUACAGGCGAUAGAAAAGCCCCCCGGCGCCAUAGCGACCAGUACCGCAAGGGAAAGAUGAAAUAGUAAUGAAAGCCAAAGCAAAAAACAGCAAAGACAAGCCCUUGUACCUUUUGCAUCAUGAUUUAGCAAGCACAUCCAAGCAAAGUGCACUUAAGUUUGCUACCCCGAAACCCAUGCGAGCUACUCGCAAGCAGCUGCCCCGAGCGAACCCGUCUCUGUUGCAAAAGAGUGGGACGACUUGCUAGUAGAGGUGAAAAGCCUAACGAGCUGGGUGAUAGCUGGUUGCCUGCAAAGCGGGUUUAAGCCCAUCCUUGAUCGCCCCUGCCAGACCACCCCCACAACUUUAAUGUAGCCCUCAAGAGUAAUUUAAAGGAGGUACAGCUCCUUUAAAAAAGGAUUCAACCUUCCCCAGCGGAUAAGACCCCCCCCCUCCCCUCCCCUGUAGGCCUUCAAGCAGCCACCAACAAAGAAUGCGUCAAAGCUCUAUAACAAAAAUACAGAAACUAACACGACUCCCUCCUCACCAGCAGGCCAACCUAUACCAAUAGAAGCACCAAUGCUAAAAUAAGUAACCAGGGACUCCCUCUCGGCGCAAGCUUAACCACACAUUAACAGACAAGUAUUCCCACAUCACGCCCCAAUAUGCCAAAACCUGUUAAUCCAACGCCGGAGCGCCUCAAAGAAAGAUUUAAAUCUGUAAAAGGAACUAGGCAAACCCCAGGCCCGACUGUUUACCAAAAACAUAGCCUCCAGCCAAGCCAAGUAUUGGAGGUGAUGCCUGCCCAGUGACACACGUUCAACGGCCGCGGUAUCCUAACCGUGCGAAGGUAGCACAAUCAAUUGUCCCGUAAAUUGGGACCGGAAUGAAUGGCUAAACGAGGCCUUAACUGUCUCUUACAGAUAAUCGGUGAAAUUGAUCUUCUCGUGCAAAAGCGAGAAUACGCCCAUAAGACGAGAAGACCCUGUGGAACUUAAAGAUCAGGGGCCACCCCACGAGCAAAAGCCCAACAAUACACUACCAAAGACUGGCCCACAUCUUUUGGUUGGGGCGACCUUGGAGUAAAACAAAACCUCCAAAAACAGGACCAAACAUCCUAACCAAGAGCAACUCCUCCACGUGCUAACAGCAACCAGACCCAACACCAGUUGAGCAAUGGACCAAGCUACCCCAGGGAUAACAGCGCAAUCCCCUUCAAGAGCCCAUAUCGACAAGGGGGCUUACGACCUCGAUGUUGGAUCAGGACACCCUAAUGGUGCAGCCGCUAUUAAGGGUUCGUUUGUUCAACGAUUAAUAGUCCUACGUGAUCUGAGUUCAGACCGGAGCAAUCCAGGUCAGUUUCUAUCUAUGCCCCGACCCUCCCCAGUACGAAAGGACCGGGAGAGUGGGACCCACACCCGAAAGUGCGUCCCCCCACCAAGCAAUGAAACCAACUAAAUUGCCAACGAAGCAACCCACCCACACUCCUAGAAAAGGAU
rnacentral:rRNA from 1 species